rnacentral:rRNA from 1 species
AUUAAACGCUGGCGGCAUGCCUUACACAUGCAAGUCGAACGGCAGCACGGGGUUUACCCUGGUGGCGAGUGGCGAACGGGUGAGUAAAGCAUCGGAACGUGCCCUGGAGUGGGGGAUAACGUAGCGAAAGUUACGCUAAUACCGCAUAUUCUGUGAGCAGGAAAGCAGGGGAUCGCAAGACCUUGCGCUCUGGGAGCGGCCGAUGUCGGAUUAGCUAGUUGGUGGGGUAAAGGCCUACCAAGGCGACGAUCCGUAGCGGGUCUGAGAGGAUGAUCCGCCACACUGGGACUGAGACACGGCCCAGACUCCUACGGGAGGCAGCAGUGGGGAAUUUUGGACAAUGGGCGCAAGCCUGAUCCAGCCAUGCCGCGUGAGUGAAGAAGGCCUUCGGGUUGUAAAGCUCUUUCGGCGGGGAAGAAAUUGCAUGGGUUAAUACCCUGUGUAGAUGACGGUACCCGAAUAAGAAGCACCGGCUAACUACGUG